AGAGUUUGAUCCUGGCUCAGAUUGAACGCUGGCGGCGUGCCUAAUACAUGCAAGUCGAGCGGGUGUAGCAAUACACCAGCGGCAGACGGGAGAGUAACACGUGGGAACGUGCCCUUCAGUUCGGAACAACCCAGGGAAACUUGGGCUAAUACCGGAUACGUCCGUAAGGAGAAAGAUUUAUCGCUGAAGGAUCGGCCCGC
rnacentral:rRNA from 1 species